GCUCGGUGUAACCGGCAUGUCCACUCUGCAUGGGAGUCCUUCUUGUUUUUUUUUUUAAGUCUCUGAACCACCUUCGGUAUGCAUCCAGAGUCCAGAUGGCAUACCUGACUAGGGCAUAGUCUCGAAACUCUUCGUCAGGGACUGCUCUGUAGGCAUCAGCGGCUCUCCCUGACAGCUUGCAGGCUAAGAGAGGAACCCAAUCCUCUGGGCUAACUUUGCUUAAGAUACACUGCCUCUAAAAAAUCUUGGAGGAAGGAAUCAAUGUCCUCCUCUGCUUCUACAUGGUUUUUGAAUGCCCAGUAAGGGAUUUUUGGCUUACCCUCCU